GAUGAACGCUGGCGGCGUGCCUAAUACAUGCAAGUCGAGCGAACAGACGAGGAGCUUGCUCCUCUGACGUUAGCGGCGGACGGGUGAGUAACACGUGGAUAACCUACCUAUAAGACUGGGAUAACUUCGGGAAACCGGAGCUAAUACCGGAUAAUAUAUUGAACCGCAUGGUUCAAUAGUGAAAGGCGGUUUUGCUGUCACUUAUAGAUGGAUCCGCGCCGCAUUAGCUAGUUGGUAAGGUAACGGCUUACCAAGGCGACGAUGCGUAGCCGACCUGAGAGGGGGAUCGGCCACACUGGAACUGAGACACGGUCCAGACUCCUACGGGAGGCAGCAGUAGGGAAUCUUCCGCAAUGGGCGAAAGCCUGACGGAGCAACGCCGCGUGAGUGAUGAAGGUCUUCGGAUCGUAAAACUCUGUUAUUAGGGAAGAACAAAUGUGUAAGUAACUAUGCACGUCUUGACGGUACCUAAUCAGAAAGCCACGGCUAACUACGUG
rnacentral:rRNA from 1 species